rnacentral:misc_RNA from 1 species
CAAAAACUUCUUUAUAAUAUAUAAAUUCAUCUCACAAAAUUAAAUCUUUCUUUUAACUCAACAAAUUAAAAACAUUCUUACUAUAAAAUCUACACAUAAACAUUUUAAAACCCAUUAAAACCUACAAUAAAAUAUCAAUAUCCUAUAAUUAAAAACAAAAAAAAAACCAUCUUUAAAAAUACUUUAUAAUAUUUAAAUUCAUCUCACAAAAUUAAACCCUUCUUUUAAUUCAACAA